UGUGACAUUGAUCCCCGCUCAGGGUGUCUUGCUUGGUAACCAUGAGAGCGGCGGACGGGUGAGUAAUGCCUAGGAAUCUGCCUGGUAGUGGGGGAUAACGUUCGGAAACGGACGCUAAUACCGCAUACGUCCUACGGGAGAAAGCAGGGGACCUUCGGGCCUUGCGCUAUCAGAUGAGCCUAGGUCGGAUUAGCUAGUUGGUGGGGUAAUGGCUCACCAAGGCGACGAUCCGUAACUGGUCUGAGAGGAUGAUCAGUCACACUGGAACUGAGACACGGUCCAGACUCCUACGGGAGGCAGCAGUGGGGAAUAUUGGACAAUGGGCGAAAGCCUGAUCCAGCCAUGCCGCGUGUGUGAAGAAGGUCUUCGGAUUGUAAAGCACUUUAAGUUGGGAGGAAGGGUUGUAGAUUAAUACUCUGCAAUUUUGACGUUACCGACAGAAUAAGCACCGGCUAACUCUGUGCCAGCAGCCGCGGUAAUACAGAGGGUGCAAGCGUUAAUCGGAAUUACUGGGCGUAAAGCGCGCGUAGGUGGUUUGUUAAGUUGGAUGUGAAAUCCCCGGGCUCAACCUGGGAACUGCAUUCAAAACUGACUGACUAGAGUAUGGUAGAGGGUGGUGGAAUUUCCUGUGUAGCGGUGAAAUGCGUAGAUAUAGGAAGGAACACCAGUGGCGAAGGCGACCACCUGGACUAAUACUGACACUGAGGUGCGAAAGCGUGGGGAGCAAACAGGAUUAGAUACCCUGGUAGUCCACGCCGUAAACGAUGUCAACUAGCCGUUGGAAGCCUUGAGCUUUUAGUGGCGCAGCUAACGCAUUAAGUUGACCGCCUGGGGAGUACGGCCGCAAGGUUAAAACUCAAAUGAAUUGACGGGGCCCGCACAAGCGGUGGAGCAUGUGGUUUAAUUCUAAGCAACGCGAGAACCUUACCAGCCUUGACAUCAAUGAACUUUCAGAGAUGGAUUGGUGCCUUCCGGAACCA
rnacentral:rRNA from 1 species